rnacentral:misc_RNA from 1 species
UUAAGUUCAGCGGGUAUUCCUACCUGAUUCGAGGUCAACCACUAAAGAAGAUGGGGUUUUCCGGCCGGGCAACGUCCCACACCCAGAACGAGAGAAAACUACUGCGUUCGGUUUUGGGGCGCCGCCGCCGCUUGCUUUGGGAGGCUGCGUGCGCAGUCCUCCAACGCCAGGCAGGGUCUGAGGGUUGCAAUGACGCUCGA